GCGGGCCUGUGUGCGCUGGGGUCCGGCGCGCGCAGAGGGGUCCCCCACAGAGGCCUCGGUUCUGCGCCUCUCGGGGUCAACGAGGCGCAGUUCGGAGCUCGGGGGUCCACGCCGGAGCCCUUGGAGGCCGGCCUGGAAGGGGGCGGGGGUCGGCACGCGAGCUCAGGCAGCUGACCCCAGAAGCGGCCCCGUCGGCCAGGGAGGGACCUGCUCCGGGACAAAGGCCGGACCCUGAGAGCGGCCUGGUCUGCCCGCUGGGGAUGGCUUUGGCUUCUGAGUCCGCUUCCUUGGAGGGACAAACUGCUUUUCCGUGGGUCCUCAGAAGAGCUCCGUGACGCAGGCAGGGGACACAGGACCCUCCCUGUUUAGCCACUGGGGAGACUGAGGCACGGGUCAGCUCUGCAGGUAGAAAGUGAAGUCAGGAGUCUCACCUGUCCCUCCUUCCUGCUGAGUCACUUUUGGAAAGGAACCUUGAGGACCAGUGACCAAGGCCCGGAGGCCCAGCGGCGGGAACAGGGCAGGG